GUCGCUUGUAGGUGUAGAUGCAGAACCAUCGGUCUGUUGGCUUGUACCCUUAGGUCAUCUGAAACCAAAGUACUGGCUUCUUAGGUAUCGUUUUGGGAAUCAAACACUGAAUAAACUCAGGAAUAUUGAAAUCAAGCACCAGUUCUGAAGCCAAGCACUGAAUACCAUUCAGGAUCCCCUAAGAUUUCCAGAUUGGAGGGCCAGAUCCAGCUAAAAGCGGUGGGAACCUCCUUCCAAACACCACGCUCAUUGGCUCAGGCCCAAAAUAUUUAACAAAGCUGAAGGAGGGAACAUUUACACUGCAGUGACACAGGAGGACUGCUGCUUUCUCUCUACCAUCCCGAGACCAGCCAUCUCUAUGCCCGGACACACUACUGGGUGUGUAUUGGGCUGUGCUGAGAACAUCCAAAGCCAACUCCCUGGAGCCAUCCUGCGGGCGGCUAAGGAGAGAGUAGUCUGAAAAGAUCCUUCCCUAAGGACAGCUUGGUGAGGGCCACCAGCACCCUAGGACUGGCCCUAGUCAUGUGCUGAGCAGGGGCUGGCUUAAGAGCAGAACAGAGCCUGGGGAGAGAACCCGCUCUUGGUUGCUGUAAAGCUGUUGUGCUUUCUCCUUCUGCAACUGUGGUGGUCUAAAAAGUGAAUUAGCUUGCAAGGAGCUAUUAAGAGAAUGCU
ensembl:lncRNA